rnacentral:rRNA from 1 species
AGAGGGAAAAGGAGCAAUCCGCUUUGAGAUGGCCUCGCGUCCGAUUAGCUAGUUGGUGAGGUAACGGCCCACCAAGGCGACGAUCGGUAGCCGGACUGAGAGGUUGAACGGCCACAUUGGGACUGAGACACGGCCCAGACUCCUACGGGAGGCAGCAGUGGGGAAUAUUGCACAAUGGGGGAAACCCUGAUGCAGCGACGCCGCGUGGAGGAAGAAGGUCUUCGGAUUGUAAACUCCUGUUGUUGAGGAAGAUAAUGACGGUACUCAACAAGGAAGUGACGGCUAACUACGUGCCAGCAGCCGCGGUAAAACGUAGGUCACAAGCGUUGUCCGGAAUUACUGGGUGUAAAGGGAGCGCAGGCGGGAAGACAAGUUGGAAGUGAAAUCUAUGGGCUCAACCCAUAAACUGCUUUCAAAACUGUUUUUCUUGAGUAGUGCAGAGGUAGGCGGAAUUCCCGGUGUAGCGGUGGAAUGCGUAGAUAUCGGGAGGAACACCAGUGGCGAAGGCGGCCUACUGGGCACCAACUGACGCUGAGGCUCGAAAGUGUGGGUAGCAAACAGGAUUAGAUACCCUGGUAGUCCACACUGUAAACGAUGAUUACUAGGUGUUGGAGGAUUGACCCCUUCAGUGCCGCAGUUAACACAAUAAGUAAUCCACCUGGGGAGUACGACCGCAAGGUUGAAACUCAAAGGAAUUGACGGGGGCCCGCACAAGCAGUGGAGUAUGUGGUUUAAUUCGACGCAACGCGAAGAACCUUACCAAGUCUUGACAUCCUGCGACGCACAUAGAAAUAUGUGUUUCCUUCGGGACGCAGAGACAGGUGGUGCAUGGUUGUCGUCAGCUCGUGUCGUGAGAUGUUGGGUUAAGUCCCGCAACGAGCGCAACCCUUAUGGUCAGUUACUACGCAAGAGGACUCUGGCCAGACUGCCGUUGACAAAACGGAGGAAGGUGGGGAUGACGUCAAAUCAUCAUGCCCUUUAUGACUUGGGCUACACACGUACUACAAUGGCGUUAAACAAAGAGAAGCAAGACCGCGAGGUGGAGCAAAACUCAGAAACAACGUCCCAGUUCGGACUGCAGGCUGCAACUCGCCUGCACGAAGUCGGAAUUGCUAGUAAUCGUGGAUCAGCAUGCCACGGUGAAUACGUUCCCGGGCCUUGUACACACCGCCCGUCACACCAUGAGAGCCGGGGGGACCCGAAGUCGGUAGUCUAACCGCAAGGAGGACGCCGCCGAAGGUAAAACUGGUGAUUGGGGUGAAGUCGUAACAAGGUAGCCGUAGGAGAACCUGCGGCUG